UAGGCUUUAUUUUAUUAGAAUAACUAGCUGUUGCCUAGUAGGUGCGAAGCAGUUCGCAGGUCUAG
rnacentral:tRNA from 1 species